AGGGCGGCCCUGUGCUCACCUCUUGCCAGCAAGUGAAGUCCAGCAGGAGGGGAGGAAGCGGGCGCAGGGGGUUCGGUGCACACAACCUCCUCCCCGCAGAAUUCUGCCUCUAGUGGAUAGCACACUGGACUGCAACCCCAGGGACCUGUGUUCUAUUCCUGGCUCUGCCCCUGGCCUUCUUGGUGCUCUUGGACAAGUCACUUGACCUUGCUGUGCCUCAGUUUCCCCACAGGAAGGAAAAAAGGUUGAGGUCAGCUCUGCUGGGAUCAGAACUGAUGGUGUCAAGGAGCCCAGGUGUCUCAAACCUAAUGCUUAGACUGCUAAGCCAUCCUUGCUGGCUGUCACUUUGGGAGAGGAAGAAGCUACAGACCCAGUAUAAUAAUGGAAGCUCUAAUGGAUCAGUACAUGGUUCAAGCAGGAAAUUGAAACCAGUGGCUAUGUUUCUGAAGAUGGAAGAGCCCACUGCAUCUCCCCUUUGCUGUAUGAAAGUGGCCUCAUCCCCUUUGAGAUUUCCAGGGAUGGUGGGCUCACAUUUCCUCACUCUGCAACUUGGUUAUCAGGUUAUCAGUCUAUCUGUUGUUUGCAUGUCCUUUCACAUAGUCACCAUAUCAUAUGUUGGGGGGGGAGGGAUAGCUCAGUGGUUUGAGCAUUGGCCUGCUAAACCCAGGGUUGUGAGUUCAAUCCUUGAGGGGGCCAUUUAGGGAUCUGGAGCAAAAAUUGGGGAUUGGUCCUGCUUCAAGCAGGGGGUUGGACUAGAUGACCUCCUGAGGUCCCUUCCAACCCUAACCUUCUAUGAAUCUAUGAAUCUAUGAAAAGCUGCCUCGUCAGUGGAAAGGUUUUUUUUUAAUUAAUUUCCUCUAUCAAUCCGGUGACACUGUCUCCCAAGUUGGGGUGAAGUGUCUUCUAUCGUCCUGCAGCGCCCAUCCUUUACAGCUCUGGUUUUGAUUUCAUGGGAUGACAACACAUCAGUGGCAUUUUUACUUUGUUCUUCAUCACAGCACUUUUUCUAUAUCUUUGGGUUUUAUGCUGUCACCCAUCACUGCAGUGUCUGGGCUUCUUCCACGUAAAGAGCUAGAACUAACUCGAGUGUUGCCCCUAACUUGAGUCCAGUCCACACACAAAAUCCUUUCACCGGAGGGUAGGGGUGCUUUUCCACUCAAGAAGGCUGGCCUGCCAGGGGUGUAGGUUCCGUCAGCACAACUUGACAGCUGCUCCCCUGACUGCUCUGGAGUGUGGAUGCAGCUUAGCUUUGCUGGAGCGCUGCUAGUUCUCCUAUGCCUUCCCACAAUUCCCCCUGUGUGCCCAGAAAGGACAGACACGUUAUCCCCCAAGUCACUGGGAAAGAAUUCAUAGAGUGGUUCAGCUUAUUGCCGUACAAAGAACCCAGGGAUGUGUCCUCACAUGAGGGGCCCGACACGAGUGAGUGCCGCGUCAGUGUGGAGACGGCAGCUCCAGGGUUAUCGCUCAGUGGGGCCGUUCUCGCUUGAGCUUGGCUAGCUCGAGAGGAGCAACCCCUAUGCAAAUCUCUCGAGUCCCCUCUGCAGCAAAGGCAGACCAAAAAUCAGUAGCGAAGGCUCUAGUGGAAUGACUCCUCUCCCUUUUGGGGGUGUGAGCUCUGCUUGGGGCGGGGUGUUUUCCUUUGUUUCCAUCUGGGUUGUUUUAGGCUGAGUAGAUGUGGGUGUCAGUGGUGUGAGAGUCAUUUGUGCUAUGGUUAAAAGGCUUUCUUGAAGAGGAAGAUUUUGCAGUAUUUUCUAAAGAUGAUCAGAUUACUAUUUACUGUUUGUAUCACCAUAAAGCCUAGGGCAGAGGUCCCCAAAGUGUGGGGCGCGCUCCUGAACAUUCAGGGGUGUGUGGCAGGGCCUGAGCUAGCCCCCACAGCGGUGGGGAGGGAGCCUGGCAGCAGCUCCACACCUGGCCAUGCAACCACCCUCAGCCCCUGGCAGAGGCUCCAUUCUCAGCUAUGCUCCUGGCCCCAUAUGCAACCCUUACUCCUGUUUGUGGUUCCCCCCACCUUUCCCCCGGGAGCCACAGCGCCGCUGCCGGCUCUGGGGAGAGCAGAUAGGGGAAAGUGGGGGCACGACCCUGAAAAGUUUGGGGACCACUGACCUAGGAGCUUCAGUCAGAGACCAGGACCCCGUUGUGCUAGGUGCUGUACAAACAAACACAGAACACACAAACAGUCUCUGCUCCAAGGGGCUUACAGUCUGCUAGGAUCGUGUCAUCUCCUAUUCAGGUUUCAUCCAGAUCUCAUUGACUGAGAAGGCUUUGGCCCCUCCAUCAAUAACAUUAACACCCUGCUCGACCGCUCUAGAAUAAAGUGAUCCUUCAUUUUACAGAUUAGGAAACUGAGGCAAAGAUGUGGUCACUCAGGAAGGCUGAUAGUCCUGAGUUUUGUUUUCCAUGGCGUAAAUCAGGAGUAGCUCCAUUGACCUCAGUGGAGUUACACUGUUGUAAAACGGUUGUGGUAGGAAAGUCAAGGCCUGUUCUAUCGAUGGAGUUAGGAUCAGACUUCAGUGGAGUUAAUCCUGACUGACACUGGUGUGACUAUGCAGAAUUAGGCCCCAAGAAUUUAAGAUCUUCAGAUCUAGCCACCCCAGGUUAGAUUUGGUUACAGCUAGGUUCAGAGCUUUGCUCACUCCCUUCUCCCCCACUUUUCCAGUGCAGUGUAUUUCUCACUCUCUGCACCUCAGCGUGGUGGUGUUUUAUACUGCCACUGUGAACUACUCCACCAGCUACAAAGCAACGAUGAACCAGACCCUAGGUCUUGCCUUACAGUCCCCAGCCCUAAUGGCUAUAAAACAUACCCUUCAGCUGUGCUCUAUGAUACACGGUACAGCAAACCCAGGGAACAUCCUUACCUGGAUAGAGUUCAGCUCUGGCAGCUGCUGCAACAGAGAAGAAGCAUGUUUUCUGUCUGACGGCUAAGUUCCAAGUUACAACCGCUCCGAUGAUGUCUUGCUGUAUGGUUACGCAUGGUCUUCUCUUCACAAAUCAGGUGAACUGGU